UGGCACAGUGAACAUCCAAGUGUACUUUACAGUUCCCUUGGAUUUGACUCUGUGCUAGAGAAACAUCUGUCCUUUUCUUCUGCAUUGAAAGAACUAUUUAUCCUUUCAAAUGUAUUCAGAAAGCAUAUUA